CCUACGGGUGGCAGCAGUGGGGGAUAUUGCACAAUGGGGGGAACCCUGAUGCAGCGACGCCGCGUGGGUGAAGGAGCGUUUCGGCGCGUAAAGCCCUAUCGGCAGGGAAGAAGGAGGACGGUACCUGACUAAGAAGCCCCGGCUAACUACGUGCCAGCAGCCGCGGGAAUACGGAGGGGGCAAGCGUUAUCCGGAUUUACUGGGGGUAAAGGGAGCGUAGACGGUAUGGCAAGUCUGAAGUGAAAGCCCAGGGCUUAACCCUGGGAAUGCUUUGGAAAAUGUUAGACUAGAGUGCUGGAGAGGUAAGUGGAAUUCCUAGUGUAGCGGUGAAAUGCGUAGAUAUUAGGAGGAACACCAGUGGCGAAGGCGGCUUACUGGACAGUAACUGACGUUGAGGCUCGAAAGCGUGGGGAGCAAACAGGAUUAGAUACCCUUGUAGUC
rnacentral:rRNA from 1 species